rnacentral:lncRNA from 1 species
GGGGCAGGUCCCUGGAGAGCUUCUGGCUCUGCACCCACUCCCAGUGCGGCCUCUCUGACCCUCGUUGCUUGCGGGGGUACACCAACGUGUGUCAGAGCAGGUGGUCCUAGCUGCCCAGCGCUGGAGGACCACCGGCUCCAGGGAUGGAAAGGGAAGUACAUCAUCUGUGGUCCGAAUAGCUCUGCAGGCUGACUGAUGCCCUUGACAAGUCCUUCGGGGAGCACUCUUGCCCUUCCGGGCUGCUGUCCCCACCUAGGUGACGUGGAUGGGCUUGGUGACCCCCUGUGCCUACAACCAUGCUCCCCCAGGGCUGGCCCUGCGGGGUAGCAGAUGCUCGCAGCAAUGCCCGUGCUCCUUUAGGGCACGAGAAUCCUGUGACCAUCAUGGGCCCAGCUGUCACUGAGAGAGGGCCAGUCUGGUGGAGACAGCACGGAAUUGCCCUGGGCACCUGGGCUGGGCAGGCUGAAAGCCUUCCUGAGUCCGGGGGGCUGACGGUGUACUUCUGAAGGACGUCUCAGAGCCCCAGAAGGACCCAGAGUGCUGGAGUCAUGUUUGCAAAGCUGCUGUCUGCUCAGGAUACUGCCCUGCCAUGCAACGGCACACCGCUUCUCAAGGACACCCAAACCACUUGGUAUGACCCCCCCCCGACCCCGGCUUCCCUUCGCAGCUCCACGUCCUGCCGCUGUCCACCACCAACGCGACACCCCAUCACGGAGACAUCCUUGCAGUGACUCCACGGAGUGCCAGGCCCUUCCCAGCACCCGCCUCCUCACGGGCCCACGAGGAGGUGGGAUGGAGGCCAUCAGCCUUUCAUGAAGAGCCAACCAAGGCUCCAGGAGACUGGGCGCCUUGCUAUGCUACUCAGCGUCUGGACUUGAACCCAGGACUUCUGCCUCCAAGUGCACACUUGUCACACUGAACCACAAUUUCUCCAUAUGCGCUGUAUCUGCUACUUCUAUCAUCUCCUUCUGGAACUCCUUUCCAUCCCAACCCCUCGUUGUUUUUCAAGGCUUGGCCCAGAUGUUGCCUCCUCCAGGCAGCCACCUUGGAUUCCUCCUCAGAUCUCCUGUUCCCUCCCCCUGAAGUCUGCUGCUGCCUUUUACCCAUGACCUUGGUUCAUCAUGGUCCUGGGAGGGAGGAGAGAUUGUGUUCUAGUGGCAGAGAUUGCUAGUUGUCCCCCAAUAUCCAUUCUUCUCUUUUCCUAAAGUAAGAGAACUUUGAAUUCAAGCUGGGCACAUGGCUGCCUGUUCAAGUUUGCAGCCCCCUGGCAGCUGUGUGCAGCUAUUCGACCAGACUCUUGCCAGUGACAUGUAAGGAGUGACCCAUGUAACUGCUGGGUCCUGCCUCUAGAGAAAAGAGAGGUGGCUUCCCUUUUCCCUUCCCCCUGUACCUACUGCUGGAUGUCAGCCAUGAUGGCAGGAGCUGGAGCAGCCACACUGACUACGGGAUGGAAGGUGGGUGUUGAGGAUCACAGAGCAGCAAGGUAGAAAGAACCAAGACUGCUGAUGCACAGACUGUGUCAUGAGCAAGGGAAGAACCCUGCU